UAGGGAAUCUUCCACAAUGGACGCAAGUCUGAUGGAGCAACGCCGCGUGAGUGAAGAAGGUUUUCGGACCGUAAAGCUCUGUUGUUGGUGAAGAAGGAUAGAGGUAGUAACUGGCCUUUAUUUGACGGUAAUCAACCAGAAAGUCACGGCUAACUACGUGCCAGCAGCCGCGGUAAUACGUAGGUGGCAAGCGUUGUCCGGAUUUAUUGGGCGUAAAGCGAGCGCAGGCGGAAGAAUAAGUCUGAUGUGAAAGCCCUCGGCUUAACCGAGGAAUUGCAUCGGAAACUGUUUUCUGAGUGCAGAAGAGGAGAGUAGAACUCCAUGUGUAGUGGUGGAAUGCGUAGAUAUAUGGAAGAAUACCAGUGGCGAAGGCGGCUCUCUGGUCUGCAACUGACGCUGAGGCUCGAAAGCAUGGGUAGCGAACAGGAUUAGAUACCCUGGUAGUCCAUGCCGUAAACGAUGAGUGCUAAGUGUUGGGAGGCUUCCGCCUCUCAGUGCUGCAGCUAACGCAUUAAGCACUCCGCCUGGGGGAGUACGACCGCAAGGUUGAAAC
rnacentral:rRNA from 1 species